UUGAACAUCAACUCACUGAGGUGCUGAAGUUAUGAAUUUGGUCUCCCCAAUAAUGACUGUUUUAAUUGAUCAUGCUACCUGCUGAACCAUUACAAAUGCAUACUAGGCAUGCACCUGUGUAUACCUUGUAUAUAAUAUAUUUAAUAAGCAUUAAACUCACAAUUUAUUAAGAUGGGAACUAUAAUAAUCACAAUACCACCAUUAAUUGGACAAAGGAGUGAACUGUAAAUAAUUCCACUAUUUUGAUUUAACUGGAUGUUGCUGUCUUUGCCACGUCCUCAACUUCUAACAUGAAAAAAAAAAAAAAACAAAACCGGCAAUUUAUUAAGAAAUAUUCCAGACAUAUUCAUUUUUUUCCUUUCUUUAAUCAGUAUGUUUUAAACCAUGUUUUCUUGGAAAUAUUGUUUUAGUCGGAAAUCAAUUUAUAGUCCGCCCCAACAUCCUCAAUAUCACUUUUCAUCCCGUCUUUUGCAAUAUCCCUUUUACAAAAGCCAGUUCCUCAAAGACAUCAUCCUCCAGGAAGUGACAUCACUUUGGUGGGAAAACAACAACACAGACAUCUGAUCUUUUGGCAUUAUCCCAGCCCUCUAAACUUCAUAUUACAGACUGUAUGGGUGGGGGCACAUCCAUAAAAAAUUGAAGAAUUCAAGCAACGGGUCUGUGUGUGAGAAUACCAGGGAAUUUAGAGAAGAAGAGAUCCAGAGUUGCUGCAGUUCGGAUAACUCACUGCCUGAGGACCUAUGCAGUGUUUUUGGGUCAGCGGUAAACGGGGGGGUUGGGGGGUUGACAGCCGACUCAGUAUGCCUUAACCAGCACCCCCCCCCCCCUCCCCCCCAAGGUUACAGCCAGGGCAGAUGGGAAAACCGAUGGAAACUAACCCCAUUUGCCACAUGCCAGUCUUUAUACAGCCUAUUUGCUAGACGAUACAUCUUUGUCUGGGGCAAGAUGUCAUUACCGCUGAGGCCUUCAUCAUCCCUAAAGUGUAUAUAUUAGAGAUAUCAAUGUUUUCCUGUGGAGAAAAUUACACUGAACCUUGUUAAGAAUGGUUAGGACUCAUUUGCGUUUGUGUUGGUGAUGUGAAAAUUGGCAUCUUUUCAGAAUCAGUUAGUCUGUGGGCUGCCAAACCAUUAUUUUCAACCUAGCCUCUAAAAAUGUACCUAUACAUUCAACUCAAUGCAAUUUCCAGCUGAAAUGACCACUAGUUGCAGUAAAACAACAACUAUUUUUACACAAAUUGCAGGCACAGAUUAUUGAUUAAUAAAAAUGUAU